UACGUAGGGGGCAAGCGUUGUCCGGAAUCAUUGGGCGUAAAGAGCGUGUAGGCGGCCCGGUAAGUCCGCUGUGAAAGUCCAGGGCUCAACCCUGGGAUGCCGGUGGAUACUGUCGGGCUCGAGUCCGGAAGAGGAGUGUGGAAUUCCUGGUGUAGCGGUGAAAUGCGCAGAUAUCAGGAAGAACACCAGUGGCGAAGGCGGCUCACUGGCCCGAUACUGACGCUGAGGUGCGAAAGCGUGGGGAGCAAACAGG
rnacentral:rRNA from 1 species